GGUGGAGUGCCUUGCAACAAAGGGUGUCUAAUCUAGAUAAGUGGGAACUUCGAUUUGCUAGUCUUAUCUGCUGGUAUAUUUGGAAAGCUAGAAAUGAUAUGGUUUUUAAUUCUAGUGUGCCUCCCCAUUCUUAAGAUUGCAAAGGCUAAGAAUACCCUUAAGGAAAUGAUUUUCAUAACUUUUUCGCAACAGCAUUCUUUGUUGGCCCUUUCAAAUUCUAUCAGAAAUCGAUCCCAAAGAUGGCUGCCUCCUGGAGCAGGAUAUUUUAAAAAUAAUGAUGAUGGUUCUUAUGAUUUAAAGACUACUAAAGCAGCUGUUGGGGUUAUAUGUCGAAACUCUGAAGGAGAAUUGGUGGAUGGCUUCACGGAGUCUUCAUAUUGUUCAUCAUCUCUAGCAGCUGAAGGGAAAGUUCUAAGCGCAGCAUGCUGAUUGGCUUAUACUAGAAAUUAUGUUCCUUGUAUUAUUGAGCUAGACUCUUUAAAGACAGUGUUAAGUAUCAUGUCUUUGAA
rnacentral:misc_RNA from 1 species